rnacentral:rRNA from 1 species
GAUGAACGCUAGCUACAGGCUUAACACAUGCAAGUCGAGGGGCAGCACGGAGAUAGCUUGCUAUCUUGGGUGGCGACCGGCGCACGGGUGAGUAACGCGUAUCCAACCUGCCCAUUACUCUGGGAUAGCCUUGCGAAAGUAAGAUUAAUACCGGAUGUUGUUAAAAACCCGCAUGAGUUUUUAACCAAAGAUUUAUUGGUAAUGGAUGGGGAUGCGUGACAUUAGGUAGUUGGUGAGGUAACGGCUCACCAAGCCUACGAUGUCUAGGGGUUCUGAGAGGAAGGUCCCCCACACUGGAACUGAGACACGGUCCAGACUCCUACGGGAGGCAGAAGUGAGGAAUAUUGGUCAAUGGACGAGAGUCUGAACCAGCCAAGUAGCGUGCAGGACGACGGCCCUCUGGGUUGUAAACUGCUUUUAGUUGGGAAUAAAAAGAGGGACGUGUCCCUAAUUGUAUGUACCAUCAGAAAAAGGACCGGCUAAUUCCGUGCCAGCAGCCGCCGUAAAAC